rnacentral:rRNA from 1 species
GGCAGGCUAGAGUUUUGGAGAGGGGAGUGGAAUUCCAGGUGUAGCGGUGAAAUGCGUAGAUAUCUGGAGGAACAUCAGUGGCGAAGGCGACUCCCUGGUCAGUAACUGACGCUCAUGUGCGAAAGUGUGGGUAGCGAACAGGAUUAGAUACCCUGGUAGUCCACACCGUAAACGCUGUCUACUAGCUGUUUGUGGAUUUAAUCCGUGAGU